rnacentral:rRNA from 1 species
CGAUGAGUACUAGUUAUUGGAGGUAUUGACUCCUUCAGUGACGCAGCUAACGCAUUAAGUAUUCUGCCUGGGAAGUACGGUCGCAAGACUAAAACUCAAAGGAAUUGACGGGGGCCCGCACAAGCGGUGGAUUAUGUGGUUUAAUUCGAAGCAACGCGCAGAACCUUACCAAGACUUGAAAUCCUAGGAAUCCGACGUAAUGGUUGGAGUGCUCGCAAGAGAAUCUAGUGACAGGUGCUGCAUGGCUGUCGUCAGCUCGUGUUGUGAAAUGUUGGGUUAAGUCUCGCAACGAGCGCAACCCCUAUCUUUAGUUGCCAGCAUUAAGUUGGGCACUCUAGAGAGACUGCCCGGGUUAACCGGGAGGAAGGUGGGGAUGACGUCAAGUCCUCAUGGCCCUUAUGUCUUGGGCUACACACGUAAUACAAUGGUACAUACAAAGGGAAGCGACCUGGUGACAGCAAGCAAAUCUCAAAAAGUGUAUCUCAGUCCGGAUUGGAGUCUGCAACUCGACUCCAUGAAGUUGGAAUCGCUAGUAAUCGCGGAUCAGCACGCCGCGGUGAAUACGUUCCCGGGCCUUGUACACACCGCCCGUCACACCAUGGGAGUUGUUUUCAUUUUAAGACGUGGCUCUAACCUUCGGGAGGGGAGCGUCUACAGUGGGAGCGAUGACUGGGGUGAAGUCGUAACAAGGUAACC